CAUCUACACAGUCCUGUAACUACACUCAGGUGCACCACCUGGGUACCCGGCCUCUCAAUUCUGUUCCCAAGCCAGAUUUCCUUUAGUUUCCUCCCACCAAGCCCAAACAGCUUAAUAGAGAAGUCAUUUUUAUUGGCUCUAUAGUGAGGCUUUCUACUUUCUUUCUUAGCUUACACAGUUUAUUUACAAUUCACAUCUUAGGUGCUUAUGCCUGAAUGUUUUCACUCUUUCUGUCCAAUAAUUUCUGUGUUUCAGAUGAAUUCACCUUUGAAGAAUACAAUGCCCCUUGCAGUGCUGAAUCUCAACAAGGAAAUGCUUGAAAACAGGAACUUACGGACCUCAUCAGAUGAACUUCUUCAGAAAUGAAGAACAGACUUACCGAGAGAGGACAGUAAGAGAAAGAAGGGAAGAUCAUUGGAAAUAUAUAAAAUUUGUAUGUUGAAUAAAUUUAUGGCAUUUAUAA